GGCGCCGGGGCUGGAGCCGGGGUUCCGGCCGCGAUCGGCUGCAGCUCUGCCGGGAGAAGGCGCGACCCGGCGGCGGGGCCACCCGCGAGUCCAGCGCCGCCGCAGCCCCCCAAUGCGGCCGCGAGAAGGAGCAGGGGGGGCAGGCGAUCGAAGAAAAUUGAUCGUGAUUCUGACACCCUCCUUUUGGGGAGUUCCUUUGAAGAUCCAUAUUAUGAAUAGGUAAAAGUAAAAUUGAAGAGGAUGUAAUGAGAUGGAUUAGAGCACGGGAAAGACCUUGAAUGGGGUAGCCUGUCAAAAGGAGUUGCCAAAGAACAGAACAGACAAAGGUCACUGCAGGGUGAAAAAAGGCUGCAUUAUCUGCUAACCAUGAAUGAGUUUCUUUAAGAAUUGCUGCUUGAAGAUUCAGGAGGUUCAAGAAGAAGAAUUAAAAUAAAAUGCUGUCUCGACCUGUGUUCAGUGUGCCAAAAAAUAGCCCUGAAAAAUGCCAGGGUUACACAUUUUGUGGCUUGGGAGGAACGUUUUGAUCAGCCUUCAGCUACUCAUAAAAAAUAAAUACGGCCGAGUUCUUACUCAGACUGUUUCUUGAAGAUCUUUUAGAGUAGAUUUCCAGCUGAAAUUUCACCUCCAGGUAAAAAAAAAGAAAGAAAGAAAAGCUGAGCCUUACUUAAAACAUUAGGCAUGUCAUGCCAGAGUAAAAUAAUGGAAUCACAAAGAGAAAAUGCUCCAUUGAGAUAAAACAGCUGUCCUUUAUACUCACUGCAUAAGUAUAAUUCAUCUGUUUGUAGGUUAUGCUUUAAUGGGGAGGAAUAUUAAAGGAAUGAGAAAGAAUUUCUUUAUUACAUGGAAGAGCACUGCAAAGAAAGAUACCCCCAUUGAAGCAGCUGUUUCAGAAGAACACGUUCUGGAACGUGAGUGAAAGUAUAUCCCCCAAGAUUCUGCUGCCUGGCUCGUAGGAAGAAUGGAGAAAAUAUAGGAGGUGCGGAGCCACGGAUAGAACUGACCUCAUGGCGUCAGCAUGAGGUUUUGUGGGUGUCACUGCCAGGCUCAUUGGUUCUCAGACUUGGAUGUGCAUUGGAAUCACCUGGGGAGUUUGAAAAAAAUACGAUGCCUGGUUCUGUGCUCAGAGGUUCUGACCUAAUUGGUCUGGGGUGUGGCUUGGCCAUGGGGAUUUAAAAAAUCUACCCAGAGGACUCUGACGUUCAGCAAAGAUUGAGAAACCAUUGGCCUAGAAGAUGACUGAUUUCUUUCUUUUCCCGUGUUCUUUGCAGCUAGGGCAGUUUGCUUGUAGGGACUUUGGUUUGGAAGCCUCCGUCCUGAGUGGGGAGCAGAAGCCUUCAAAGCCAAACCAGAGAGCACUUGAUUAAGUCUUUAGUUUGAUAGAUUCCUCUCUUUAAGGGCUAAAAAGUAAAAUUCCAGUGUUCCUUUGAAAAAUGAAUCCUGGGGUUUCUUUCCAUCACAGAGAAAGUAUUAAGUAUAUUCUCUCUGAACUCCAAAGUAGGAAAAAGAAAAAAGUAAACAACCACAUCCAGAUGCAGGCAAACUUCCAAGUAGAGGGAAGAUGCUGUGAAGUGAUAUUGAUCAAGGUAUCAGCAGGCAUUGAGACUUGACCCUAAUUUACUGCUGGGGGAAAAAAAAAAACAAGAAAGAAGGAAAGAAAAGAAAAGUAAUAGAGUACAUUCUUGAUUAUAGGUCCAAUGGUCAGAACUACAUUCACUAACUUAAGUGGAGCUUUUUCCUUUUCUUUUUGGGAUUUCUAGGAAAUACCAGACAGUAUGGUAUAACAUAAGUAAGAAGA